rnacentral:rRNA from 1 species
AACGAACGCUGGCGGCAGGCUUUACACAUGCAAGUCGGGCGAGCGGCGAACGGGUGAGUAACGCAUCGGAACGUACCGAGUAAUGGGGGAUAACUAUCGGAAAGGACGGCUAAUACCGCAUACUAUUCGAUGGGCCGAUAUCGGAUUAGCUAGUUGGCGGGGGAAAGGCUCACCAAGGCGACGAUCCGUAGCGGGUCUGAGAGGAUGAUCAGCCACACUGGGACUGAGACACGGCCCAGACUCCUACGGGAGGCAGCAGUGGGGAAUAUUGGACAAUGGGCGCAAGCCUGAUGCAGCCAUGCCGCGUGUCUGAAGAAGGCCUUCGGGUUGUAAAGGACUUUUGUCAGGGAAGCGGUACCUGAAGAAUAAGCACCGGCUAACUACGUGCCAGCAGCCGCGGUAAUAC